rnacentral:lncRNA from 1 species
UGUUUUAUAGCUAAAUCAGUAGACAUUUAUAGGUAACAGUAAAAAACAGUGUAAAAUAUAAAUGCAUAUCGGAAUACAGAAGAUAUAAGUAAAUUAAAUAUGCUCCUAUCUGAUAGGUGGGAAGGUGAGUAAAACCUUUACUCAUGUGAUACAAAGUUUUAUUUUGUGUCUCUUUCAUCCUAGAAUAUAUGGGAAUGUAAUUUAAGGUAUCAGCAUGGAUAGUUUGUAUCCUUUGGUGGAAGACACUUCCUACCUUUUUUCAUCCAUGACCUAUGUGCAUAAUUGAGAAGAUUGUUCAUUCUGCAAAGAAUCUUUGGAGAAAUGGCACAAAAUCAGUUGUGUUGAUGUGAAACACAUGUAUUCCAGAUGCAGAAAAAAGUAAAUAGUGCUGAUGCAGAGGAAGACUGUGCAAGACUCCGGCUUGAAAAGAAGGUACACUUGAAAUGGUACAUAUUAUUAAGGAAACCCUUGUAUCUGCAAAAAGUAAUUUCAGAAGCUAUGUUAUGGAGUUGCCCUUAAAACAGUAGUUACAUGUACUGAAUGCUGAGGUUUGUGGAAAUGGGCUGGCCAGGUGCAAUUGCACAGAUUUAGCACAGCCCAGCAUCUGCUGUCUUGGCCUGGCCACGUGGAUACAAAGAUCAGUGCAGAUACUUGAUGACCACAGCAAGAUUAUCUGUUACAAGGUAAGAUUUGAAAGGAUUUUAAAAUAAAUGCUGUGAUCUGGCAUGUGCUGAUGGGUGG